rnacentral:rRNA from 1 species
UGGGGAAUAUUGGACAAUGGGCGAAAGCCUGAUCCAGCCAUGCCGCGUGUGUGAAGAAGGUCUUCGGAUUGUAAAGCACUUUAAGUUGGGAGGAAGGGCAGUAAGUUAAUACCUUGCUGUUUUGACGUUACCGACAGAAUAAGCACCGGCUAACUCUGUGCCAGCAGCCGCGGUAAUACAGAGGGUGCAAGCGUUAUUCGGAUUCACUGGGCGUAAAGGGUGCGCAGGCGGUUGGGUGUGUCAGAUGUGAAAUCCCGAGGCUUAACCUCGGAACUGCGUCUGAAACUACUCGACUAGAGUAUUGGAGAGGGUAACGGAAUUCACGGUGUAGCGGUGAAAUGCGUAGAUAUCAAGAGGGACACCUGAGGUGAAGACGGGUUGCUGGGCUGACACUGACGCUGAGGCGCGAAGGCCAGGGGAGCAAACGGGAUUAGAUACCCUGGUAGUCCCUGAGCGGGCUGGCAAGGCGCAU